AACGAACGCUGGCGGCAGGCCUAGCACAUGCAAGUCGAACGCACCGCAAGGUGAGUGGCGCACGGGUGAGUAACACGUGGGAAUGUACCCUUUGGUUCGGAAUAACGUUUGGAAACGAACGCUAAUACCGGAUGAGCCCUGCGGGGGAAAGAUUUAUCGCCAAAGGAGCAGCGCGCGUCUGAUUAGCUAGUUGGUGGGGUAAAGGCCUACCAAGGCGACGAUCAGUAGCUGGUCUGAGAGGAUGAUCAGACACACUGGGACUGAGACACGGCCCAGACUCCUACGGGAGGCAGCAGUGGGGAAUAUUGGACAAUGGGCGGAAGCCUGAUCCAGCCAUGCCGCGUGAGUGAUGAAGGCCUUCGGGUUGUAAAGCUCUUUCGCACGCGACGAUGAUGACGGUAGCGUGAGAAGAAGCCCCGGCUAACUUCGUGCCAGCCGCCGCCGUAAGAC
rnacentral:rRNA from 1 species